UCCAGUAAUACAUGUAUCCAGCCAUACAUGAGUGCAAAGUCCACAUUUGCAUACGUAUGCAACAAAAGAUCACAAACGAAAGGACCGUAAGUUUCAGGUCCACACAGUGCAUACAUAUCCAACGAAGGUUCACAACAACAUACAUACAUAUGCAACCAGAGGUUCACAAAUUAAAGGAUCAUGAGUUCCAAGUUCCCACCAAGCAUGAACCAUGCAAUGAGCUCCACCGCAGCAUAUAUGCACACCGUCAACGCCAUCCACAAUGCAAACCUAUAAGUCCAUUAUCACACGCAUGAGUUUCUAAAGUUAAGUUGCAAAGAUGGAUAAGGCAAAAGAGUCAACAAGCAUCAACAUAUGAGGCUCAAAUAGAAGCUAAGAAGUAUGUACAAUAUAAGCAUCAACGCUUGUGGACUCUACCAUCAACAAUGCACAAGUUUUAAGUUGAGAAGCACAAGCAACAAGAAGACGCAAGCAUCAACAAUGGACAAACAUGGAGUACUACCUCAAGUGAUCAUUGUUGCGGGGAGGUCGAAGCGACAUGAACUGUAGUGGGUGUCACUGGACUUGCUUGGCCAGGUGAAGAUCCACCUACCACACAGUUAUUGGAGCCUUGUCCCGACUGAGAAAACUUGAAGCACGAGAGGAUACGAUGGUAAGAUUCAUGAUCUUCAAGUAUGAAGGUAAGAUGCACGAUUGAAAAGUUCAAAGACUUACAAAGUUGAAAUUAGGAAGAGUCGGAAGAGGAGGAAGAACGGGCAAAGUGGAACCCUGCAUAUUAUUUAUGAGUUGAGCAAAUGUCUCCUGCAGAAUUGCCUGUUGUUUAACCAUGAAUUCUUGUUGUUGAAACAGGGCCUGCUGCAUUUUCAUGGCUUCCUCCUCUCGAAGCCUGGCAUUGGCCUACAAUAUGCCAUCACAACAAGUUCACCAUCGUUGCAAUACAAAGAAGAAAUCACAAGGAAGGUCGAUGAAGCAAAAUAUACCUCGAGUUGAUGGAGCAUGUGCAGCCCAGGCUGUGGGAGAUGCUCUAUAGCAGGACCUGAGCUCGACAUGGUAGCACGGAGGUGAGAGAGUUUUGGGAUGUCCUUCUUACGGAUGGCACCAUCGCCAACAUAUAACCGACCACCCUUCUUGCCAUCUCCCGACUAGAGGGAAAUUGUAGCGUCAAUGUCCUGUGAGGCCGGAUCAGAGUCUGGCCCGUUGUGCUCCUUGAACUUCCCACUGUAUGCAUCAAUCCUCAAGCCAGUGCCUGGGUUGACCCACCCCCCUUCCGGUUUCUUUGACUUGCGGGAGAGGCAUAAUCCCGUGAAGGUAUUGAUCUUCUCUUGGCCCUCACCUCUCUCCCUAUUCUGCAAUAGAAGCAAUAAUAUCCAGAAGAGCACAAGUUUAGAAGUUGAGAAGCCGAAUGAUAUUAUUACCUUCUUCUGCACGUAAGCAUGGAGGUUGAGGUUGCCUUGAAGGUGUAACGGACCACCCAUCAAGGAACGCCGCUCCGAAGCCAUUCGAUGUUUGGCCCUCCACUCCGGGUCUAUACAUUUGGAUAUGAUUUGCUGAUAGCAAGGAACAUUGUUGUUGCACCACGAGGGAACCGCCUGAAGUAUGCCAAAUACAUCCAACUUAGGAAUGAAAGUAAGUUGUUUUGAUCCAGGCAAUCAUAGGUAAAAGGAAACUACCUUCAUGUACAUGGAACGGGUGAGAUGCACUCUCCGGGCUAGAGACUUUUUGAGAAGCAUUUUGCGUUCGUGCGCGAAAUACUUCACCACAGCAUCAAUGCGCGCCGCAUAGGGCAUGUCUUGGACAAUCUUCUUGGCAAUCGCCUCCACAACCUCAUUAGCUUCAUCCUUCAUACCCUCGGCGCAAGUAAAGAAAUCCUGCCAAAGAUCAUAAGAGGAUAAAACAGUUAUUAGUGCAAUGAUUUUAAAGAUUGGCAAAGAAAUAACUAUGAAAGUUGACAACAAAUUUUACCCAAACAGCAUUGACCACCCGCUCGGCGGCACUACCAUACACCCUGCCCCACUUGUCUUUGGUAUCCGGAGCUCGUUUCCAAUGCUCCCAAGACCAAGCUGGCUCCUCCUCACCGUCUCCUAUGGGGACCAGGCCAGGGUAAUAAUGCCUGCAAAGACAUCCAAUGAUGCUACUUGGCUGGCGCGGCACUUUUAUGUCUUCUCCAUCAACCACCAAGGCCCUGCACAAUGAAAAGGCAAGUAAGAUAGUAUCUGCAAAAAUCUUAAAAGUAAAGACGCAAGAGUCCACACAAACACUUACCUCAGACCGGCUGGUUUGACAAUGAGGCCCUUAUGUGGAUAUGGUCUCGAAGGGAGCGUGAACACCCCACGCAACCAGAUUUUGCUCUCCUUAGGAACUGGCCAUUCCAUCUUCUCCGCCGAUGUCUCCACCUCAUACUCUCCCUCCUCUAACUCCUCCACAACCGGCUCCUCCUCCCUCUCCUCCUCUGACUCCUCCCUCUCCUCCGACUCCUCCCUCUCAUCCUCCUCCACAACUAGCUCCUCCUCCCUCUCCUCCUCUGCUUCCUCCUCCAAUUCCUCCUCAGAAUGGACGGAGGGGAUAGGGCUAGCAACACGGGAUACAGUGGUACGACCACGUCGUCUACCUCGGGUACCAUCCACCGUGGCUCGCUGUGUAGGUUUGGCCCUGCCUGCCUGUAUGGAAGUUGCCGCACCGGUGCCCUUCUUUAUGACCCUCCUCACCUUGCCUAACCUUUCAAUCACAUUGCCAAUGCUUGCAACUUUGUUCCCUUUGUUCCUUUUGUUGCCUGGCAUCUUUCAGUCACCUGCUAUGAGAAAGAGUAGUUCAAUUAGUUCAUGUUGAAAACUUCAUAUGCAAAACUUGCCCCCCAAGCAAGGUGGGGCGCCCCCUCCCCAAACCCUAGGCGCCUUGGGCCCUUGUGGGGGGGCGCACCAGCCCAAGAGGGGCUGGUCCCCUCCUACACUUGGCCCAUGCUGCCCUCCGGGGAUGGUGGACCCCCGGGACCCUCCCGGUGGUCCCGGUACGUUACCGAUAAAACCCGAAGCUUUUCCGGUGACCAAAAUAGGACUUCCCAUAUAUGAAUCUUUACCUCUGGACCAUUCCGGAACUCCUCGUGACGUCCGGGAUCUCAUUCGGGACUCCGAACAACAUUCGGUAACCACAUACAAACUUCCGUUAUAACCCUAGCAUCAUCGAACCUUAAGUGUGUAGACCCUACGGGUUCGGGAACCAUGUAGACAUGACCGAGACGUUCUCCGGUCAAUAACCAACAGCGGGAUCUGGAUACCCAUGUUGGCUCCCACAUGUUCCACGAUGAUCUCAUCGGAUGAACCACGAUGUCAAGGCCUCAAUCGAUCCCGUAUACAGUUCCCUUUGUCUAGCGGUAUUGUACUUACCCGAGAUUCGAUCGUCGGUAUCCCGAUACCUUGUUCAAUCUCGUUACCGGCAAGUCUCUUUACUCGUUCCGUAACACAUCAUCCCGUGAUCAACCCCUUGGCACAUUGUGCACAUUAUGAUGAUGUCCUACCGAGUGGGCCCAGAGAUACCUCUUCGUUUACAUGGAGUGACAAAUCCCAGUCUCGAUUCGUGCCAACCCAACAGACACUUUCGGAGAUACCUGUAGUGCACCUUUAUAGCCACCCAGUUAUGUUGUGAUGUUUGGUACACCCAAAGCAUUCAUACGGUAUCUGGGAGUUGCACAAUCUCAUGGUCUAAGGAAAUGAUACUUGACAUUAGAAAAGCUUUAGCAUACGAACUACGAUCUUUGUGCUAGGCUUAGGAUUGGGUCUUGUCCAUCACAUCAUUUUCCUAAUGAUGUGAUCCCGUUAUCAACGACAUCCAAUGUCCAUGGUCAGGAAACCGUAACCAUCUAUUGAUCAACGAGCUAGUCAAUUAGAGGCUUACUAGGGACAUGGUGUUGUCUAUGUAUCCACACAUGUAUCUGAGUUUCCUAUCAAUACAAUUAUAGCAUGGAUAAUAAACGAUUACCAUGAACAAGGAAAUAUAAUAAUAACUUAUUUAUUAUUGCCUCUAGGGCAUAUUUCCAACAAAAGUACUAGUGAUAAGGCCAUAUAUGAGGGUAAUAAAAUAGUACUACUGAUUACCACUCCACCAAGAUGGUACACAAAGGCAAAACAUAGAGCCGCCGGGAUGCCCACGAGGUAGUACACACUGAGAUUAACAUAGGAACCAAUCUUUUGAAAGCCACAGCCCCUAACAAUACCUGUAAAAUGUGCUAAUUGAUAACCUUAUAUUUCCAGCAUGUACGAAACACUACAAGGAAAAACUUAUAAGCCGUGUACCUAAUACACCCGGCUUACAUUGAUUUAAACUCGGUUUAUAUAUAAGCCGAGUAAAACUCCCGGCUUAUAGCACUCGGUUUACAGUCGACCGGCUUAUAACUUAUAAGCCGAGAGCCGGACCAAAAAAGCCCGGCUUAUGUAUAAACCGGGUAUUUUCACAAGGCUCCCGGUUUAAUAAAGUAACCUGACGGUAGCCUGAUGUUAACAGCCACGUGUCACCGUCUAUAUAACUCGAGUGCCGUCGUCAGGGCACGGUUUAAACAUAAACCGAGUGCACCUCAGUACGUACGGUUUAUAUAUGAGCCGGGUGCAACAGCGGACGCACGGUUUAUAUAUAAGCCGGAUGCGACCGCGAACACACGGUUUAUAUAUAAGCCGGGUGAAACCGCGAACCGCACGGUUACAAUAUAAGCCGAGUUCCACCGACAAAAGCACGGUUUUUAUAUACAUAUAUAAGCCGGGUGCCGGUUAACUGAGGUACACGGCUUAUAUAGCCUGCUCAUGUGUCCAGAUGGUCUAUAAGCCGGGUGCCAGGUGCUGGGCUGCACGGCUUAUAGGUUAUAAGCCGGGUGCCAGAUGCUGGGCUGCACGGCUUAUAUGUUGGCCGCCGCCAUAUGGCUUAUAAGCCGGGUGCCAGAUAGCUGGGGUACACGGCUUAUAGGCCAUAUAGCAUGUAUACAGGCACUUCAGGGAGCAGCAACAACAUAUAUACAAUAGUACAUCUAUCCAGCAGCACAUAUAUCCAACAAAUAUAUGUAUCCAGCAGCACAUAUAUCCAACAAAUAUAUGUAUCCAGCAGCACAUAUAUAAAACAAAUAUAUGUAUCCAGCAGUACAUGACCAUGACCAACAAACAUAUAUCCAGUAAUACAUGUAUCCAGCCAUACAUGAGUGCAAAGUCCACAUAUGCAUACGUAUGCAACAAAAGAUCACAAACGAAAGGACCGUAAGUUUCAGGUCCACACAGUGUAUACAUAUCCAACGAAGGUUCACAACAACAUACAUACAUAUGCAACCAGAGGUUCACAAAUUAAAGGAUCAUGAGUUCCAAGUUCCCACCAAGCAUGAACCAUGCAAUGAGCUCCACCGCAGCAUAUAUGCACACCGUCAACGCCAUCCACAAUGCAAACCUAUAAGUCCAUUAUCACACGCAUGAGUUUCUAAAGUUAAGUUGCAAAGAUGGAUAAGGCAAAAGAGUCAACAAGCAUCAACAUAUGAGGCUCAAAUAGAAGCUAAGAAGUAUGUACAAUAUAAGCAUCAACGCUUGUGGACUCUACCAUCAACAAUGCACAAGUUUUAAGUUGAGAAGCACAAGCAACGAGAAGACGCAAGCAUCAACAAUAGACAAACAUGGAGGACUACCUCAAGUGAUCAUUGUUGCGGGGAGGUCGAAGCGACAUGAACCGUAGUGGGUGUCACUGGACUUGCUUGGCCAGGUGAAGAUCCACCUACCACAUAGUUAUUGGAGCCUUGUCCCGACUGAGAAAACUUGAAGCACGAGAGGAUGAGAUGGUAAGAUUCAUGAUCUUCAAGUAUGAAGGUAAGAUGCACGAUUGAAAAGUUCAAAGACUUACAAAGUUGAAAUUAGGAAGAGUCGGAAGAGGAGGAAGAACGGGCAAAG
rnacentral:lncRNA from 1 species